CUCUGUCUCACACACGUGGAAACCCUAGAGAUUGCAAUAAUGGCAUCAAGAGCUCUCGCCAAAACCUGCUCGAAGCUCGCCUCUCGAAUGGCGGUUCGUUCCCUCUGCACCUUCGCUCCUUCCUAUCCCAAUUCUGAGUUACAUAUUCGUUUUGGGCUACCAAUUCCGAGGAAAGAGAAGAGGAAAAGGAAGAGGAAGAGGUGGACAAUAAGCCUCUGAAACCGGAUGAUUACCCGUGCGACCUAUGGCAAUUGAUGAUGAUGAAAAGUUGCGACAGGCGACGAUGGCUUAGACGCUGUACUGAUGUCGAGGAUAGUACUUUUCCUAAUGAUGCAGAUGGUAAUGCAAUUGAUGCUGAGGAAUUAGGGUUUCGUAGAUACCGACAUCUCUUUUCUGAACAGAAGCACAACGUAAUAUUAGAAAAUUAUGGGUUGUACAAAAAGAGUAACACUGAUUGGCAUGUGGCUGGGGAUUCCAAGUUCAGAUAUAUCUCAAUAGCAGACUUCAUGUGGUGGUUCGACAGGAUUCAUGAACAGUACAAAAAAAGUAUUUAUAAUUACAUGUUUAAGCAACAAAUUUAUGUUUUGGAGAAUUGUCCGAAGACUUUAUUAAAACAAGCAGUAAUCGUCUGUUUUUGGCGAGCGCCACUGGAUGGGUGGUACAAGUUAAACAUUUCUGGGUUUUUUUAAGGAAAAUCUUGAUGGGACCAAAGAAGCUUAUUGUGGAGAAGUAUUAAGAGAUUCUUGGGGAACGGUUUUGGAGAGGUUCCAUAAGCCACUUCCUGAUGCGACGUCUAGAAAUGAAGUAUUCUUACUUGGAGUGCAUUAUGGGAUAGAUGAAAUUCUCCAAAGGAGAUCAGAAGCAAAGAAAAUAAUAUUGGAGAUUGACCAUAAAAAAAUUGUCUAGGUGCUAACUCGUGAUAAGCAUGUCCCGUGGGAAUAUAUGGAGCUUUGUGGGAAUUUUUUUUAUAUGUUGUCAGAAUUUGACCAAUAUAAAAUAUUGUUUCAAUGUCCUCAAGGAAACAGUUUAGCUAAAAGAGUUGCGCAUAUAGCUUCGCAUCUGGCCGAGGGACAGAGCUUUCCAAUAGGCGACAGAGGUUAUGAAACACAAGUCAGGUGUGAUCAAUGGAAGAUUCCACGAUAUGAGAUCAUCCCCAAAAGAAGUAAUGAAGUUGAAGAAUUGUCUGAUGAGGAUAUUUGAAGUCAGGUUGUGAGCUUGGUGAGCGAACUAGGAAGAAGAAAACAGGGCAAGGAUGUAAAGUGCUUUUUUUGGAAAAUAUUUUCCUUUUUCAGGUAAAAUAUUCUUUUAUUUUUUACUUUUUCGGUGUUUGACAAAGGUUUACGUCAAGGUUGAGGUCAAGUCUAUCGGGCGGGGCAUGUAAAAUAACUUUUCGAAAAUUGAUGGAUAAGUUAUUUUUGUUAGAUUUUAAUAUUUUUUUUCUUCGUAAAUAUUUUAUGACAACCAAACACCAGAAAAUAAAAAAAUAUUUUUUGAAAAAAGCUUCUAAUUUUUGGGUUGGCUAUCUAUGUAUUGAUGACUUAAUUAUUGGAAAUUCAUCAUCAAGAUUGAUGUAAAAUAGUCUUACAAUAUUAUAUGGACUUCCCAGAGUGGACUCAACAAAUUUUUUACUUUAUGGAUCAAUCCAUUUUUAAAAGGUCAACUCAGUUUAAAAUGAUAGCACGUGAGGCAAAACACAGACCAUGGCCGGAUGCUCAAAAAGAACAUAAACCUAUACGAAAUCAUUCUCUCCUCUCUCUCUCUCUGUCUCUAACCUCAAGCAAAGCGUCCUUAAGUUUACAAAAAAACUAGAGGAACAAAGACAAAACCCUAAUUCCUAUCAGCCAGGUUAACCCACGAAAAUGAGUUUAGCUCAGUUUAAAUAUUUAUUUUGAACUUUAGGACACUUGUUGAAUUCUCUUCGGGCAAUGUCACAUAAAUGGCCUAAGGCAAGUAUUUUCAUAUAUAUAUAUACCCACAUAAACAUUUAUAUGCGCACAUUAUUGUGUAAAUUAGUAGAUAUGUAUUAUAAUGUACAAUGUUUCCUCCAAGAAAUUUUUUUGGCUUCGUGCUGAUCUUCGAUCUAGUCCUAAUUUUUUUUUUGAUAAAUAAAAGUGUAUUAGAAGGUGUUCAAAAGGGGAACGCAUCCCAAAAGUUGUACAAGAACCAUGAACACAAACCAAAAAAGCUUAGGGAUCCAAAGACCCCAAAAAAACCAAAAGCUCCUCAACGGAAGAAUAAUCUCUCCCCAUGCCCCAACUAAAAAGAGAACAAAUAAUAGAAUACUUAAGAACCCCAAUGGGUAGUUCCUCCUCAGCAAAGGAUCUUCUAUUGCGCUCUUUCCAUAAACACCACCAAAUGCAUAGGGGAGUCGCCCUCCAAAAGUCACGAACUCGAGUCCCCACCAUCUGCCUCCAAAUAUCGAUAAGACCUUGGGAGGUCCGAGGCAUAACCCACUGAACGCCAAAAAGGCCCAACAUAAGACUCCAACAGUCAUAGGCCACUAGGUAGUGCAAGAGAAGGUGGUCCACAGACUCUCCAUCGGUCAUACACAAACAAUACUGAUUAACAAUGACCUGUCCCCUCUUCCUCAAAUUGUCCAGAGUCAGGAUCUUGCCCCAAGCAGCAGUCCACACAAAAAACGCGACCCUAAGAGGAGCCUUCGAAUGUCAAACCGUUUUCCAUGGAUAAGAGGGAGCCUGAAACUGGAAAGACGGAAGAAGAAAGACCGGACCUGAAAAGUCCCCCACGAAGAAGGCACCCAAGUCAAAAGGUCCACCCCUGUGCCCUCCACCUCCUAACGAUACGAGAGAGCCAAAAAAGCAGUGACAUCAUCCAGCUCCCAAUCCUGGAAAGCUCGCCGGAGAACAUCCCAAGAUAACCUUCCGCAAUCAAGGCGAUAGCAAUCAGCAACCAAAGCACGGCAAUCCUAAACAACCUUGGAAACUGUUGACACAAAGGACGUUCCUCGCACCAAGGAUCCUCUCAAAAUCGAACACUCCGCCUUUCUCGAAUUCUGAAUCUAAUAUGCUUAGAAAACUCAUCCCAACCCUUCCCAAUAGAUUGUCACACACCAACACCAAUAGCAGAUCUAGCCUAUCUAGCAGACCAACCCCCUCUAUUCUCCCCAAACUUGCAAGCAACAAUCUUUCUCCAGAGUCUAUGUCUUUCACUGUCAAACCUCCAAAGCCAUUUGCCAAGAAGGGCCCUGUUAAAAGGGACCAACCUCCGAAUCCCAAGGCCUCCUGACUUAAACGGCUUGCAAACCUGCUCCCACCUAACCAGAUGAUACUUAAACUCCUCCCCCCUGCCACCCCAAAGGAAGUUACGUUGAAUCAUCUCAAGCCUCCUCUCAACAAAAGAAGGAAUCUGGAAUAGGGAGAGGAAAAAAGUUGGAAAGCUGGACAAGACACUCUUCACCAGCCUAACUUUACCUCCCUUCGAAAGAUAUUGUUUUUUCCAUCCAGCCAACCUUCUCUCGAAGCGCUCAAUAACUGGAUCCCAAUAGCCCGCCCUUCUUGAGGAGACCCCCAGGGGCAAACCCAGAUAGGAGAUAGGGAAGGAACCCGUCCUACAUCCAAGCACAGCUGCAAGGGAAUUCACCUCCUGAACCUCCCCCACAGGGACAAGCACACUCUUGCCCACGUUGAUUUUCAACCCAGAAACAGCCUGAAAACAAACCAGGACACAUCUCAAAUAUCUCAAUUGGGACGCCUCUGCCUCACAAAAAACCAAUGUAUCAUCCGCGAACAACAAGUGAGAAAUCUCCAAUUGAUGAACUGCCUCAGGACCUAUCAUAAAGCCCCGAAACAUCCCUGAUGAAACAGCCUUCCUCAUCAGCCUAUUAAGAGCCUCCAUAACAAUAAUGAACAAGAAAGGGGAGAGGGGGUCCCCUUGCCUCCAUCCACGAGAACUACCAAAAAACCCCGAAGGGGAACCAUUAACCAGCACCGAGAAUCUGACAGACGAAACGCAAAAAGCAAUCCAUUUCCUCCAUCUCUCACCAAAACCCAUCCUCUCAAGCAAAUAGAACAAAAAAUUCCAGCAAACAUGAUCAUAGGCUUUUUCAAUGCCACUAUGAAGCCUAAUUAAAAAACAUGGAACGAUUUUAUUCUGGUAUGAAGUCCUUCAAGAUUGAAAUUGAACCGGAGGCGAUAUUGGUACUCCACUUUUAUACUACUACACUCUAAUCUAAAAGGAAAUGACACCUCUAACCUUAACUUUAAAAAUUAAUUUUCUCAUAUAAUACAAUUACCCUUUUCAAUUAUGGUAAGAUCUUUUUAUCUCCCUUCUUUCCCAAUUAACGUUUUUGAUAUCUAAACUUUCUCUAUAUUUUAUUAGCUUUCUCUUCUCUCUCUCAUUUGGGUUUGAUAUUGAUUUUUGUAAAUGAUAAUAACAGAUUUCACAAAUAAAAAUAACAGAGUUGAACGAUGUAAUUGAUCUUGUUAGAAUAACUGUUAAAACUUUAUGAACUAUUAAAUUCCUUUGAUGAUAAUAGUGUGAUGGGAAAUGGUAAUUUGUUUUUUUAUUUAUUCUUCUUUUCUGUUUUAUGCCUUGACUCUUGAGUUUAUGUUUAGAUUGUUGAGAAUUUUAAAGGUUUUUAAAACUCCUUAUUUGUAAGAGUUUGUGUUUUUUGAGUUUAAAAUUCUUUUAUUUUGUCUUAACAAAUCUUUCCAUUAUUGAUUUUAUUGACAGAUUUAUAUAUUAGAACGUUUUAGGCUUUUAAUAGCUUCAAGUUUUAUGGGAAUUUAUUUGGUUAAUAAAGGGUAGAUACUCUAGCCAUUGCCAUCUAGGAGAUGCAAAUAUCCACAUUUUGAAUAGAAUAUUAAACUCUCAUAUUAUAUACCCUUAUUCUAACCGUAUUUAUCUAGUUUCUACCGUCAUAUUCUUUCCAUAUGUUUGUGGCAACUUGACAUUCUUAGACAAGUCGCCUGUGGACGUGCUCAUAGAUGACUUUCGGCUUGAGAAGCUUGGGUUGUAUCUUAGAGCCGCAUUGGACCAUCUGUACUUGCACGAUAGGGAGGCCUAACAGUGCCUAGCAUGCCCUCAUCAUCUUCAAGUUGGUUGUAAAGGAUAGAGUGGAAUAUGGAUUCAGAUGGUUGUAAAGGAUAGACUGAUGCUUUGUCGAUAAAGUGUUCCCUAUUCAAAAUAUACCAGAUUCCUCAUAUAAAACCACCCCCCAAAGGACCUCGAAAACAAAAAGACCAUGCCCCUUUCCAUACACCCCUCACUUUCCUAAAAGCUCCAUCGGAACAUGAUAGCCCAUAUCCCACGUGCCUGCCCCAAAGGACCACAAAAACAAAAAGACCAGUCUUUAGCGACAAAGCACCAGUCUUUGUCACCGAGGCAUUUGAAACGGAGAUGUUUGGUUAUAAAAUGGGGGUGCAUUGGGCAAACCAUGUUGGGCUUUAGUUCCGAUUCCAUUUUUGUACAAGGGACGCUUUCCCCUUUUGAACACUUUUUUAUAUUAUUAUUACUUAUCAAAAAAAAGAAUUAUUAUUGUUUGUAGGGAAUUGUUUGAAAUCUUGAAUAGCUUUGAUGAGGUUUAUAUUGAUUAUAUACCAAGGGAGCUGAAAAGGGUCGCUGAUUACUUAGGUGGACAAAAAGUGCAGGGAAGAGCAUAUGAUCCGAAUGUUGUGGACAUGAUGAUAGCUUAUGAGGACAUGACACGUGUGAGAUGGAGGGUUAAUUAGGAGAUUUCAUGAAGUAAAUAAUAAUGUACAGCAAAACUUAAUCAAUGAGGAUCACCGUGUUCUCUCUAUUGUACUGAACAUCAUGUUUUCUUUAGGCCAUGUUCUCUUAUACUACAAGGAUUUAUUAUGUCUUAUAUUUUUUCGAAAUUCCGUGCAUUUUAUUUUGUGCAUUA